AGUGAACGCUGGCGGUAGGCCUAACACAUGCAAGUCGAACGGCAGCACAGUAAGAGCUUGCUCUUACGGGUGGCGAGUGGCGGACGGGUGAGGAAUACAUCGGAAUCUACUUUUUCGUGGGGGAUAACGUAGGGAAACUUACGCUAAUACCGCAUACGACCUACGGGUGAAAGCAGGGGAUCUUCGGACCUUGCGCGAUUGAAUGAGCCGAUGUCGGAUUAGCUAGUUGGCGGGGUAAAGGCCCACCAAGGCGACGAUCCGUAGCUGGUCUGAGAGGAUGAUCGGCCACACUGGAACUGAGACACGGUCCAGACUCCUGCGGGAGGCAGCAGUGGGGAAUAUUAGACAGUGGGCGCAAGCCUGAUCCAGCCAUACCGCGUGGGUGAAGAAGGCCUUCGGGUUGUAAAGCCCUUUUGUUGGGAAAGAAAAGCAGCAGGUUAAUACCCCGCUGUUCUGACGGUACCCAAAGAAUAAGCACCGGCUAACUUCGUG
rnacentral:rRNA from 1 species